rnacentral:rRNA from 1 species
GAUGAACGCUGGCGGCGUGCCUAAUACAUGCAAGUAGAACGCACAGUUUAUACCGUAGCUUGCUACACCAUAGACUGUGAGUUGCGAACGGGUGAGUAACGCGUAGGUAACCUGCCUGGUAGCGGGGGAUAACUAUUGGAAACGAUAGCUAAUACCGCAUAAUAUUAAUUAUUGCAUGAUAAUUAAUUGAAAGGUGCAAUUGCACCACUACCAGAUGGACCUGCGUUGUAUUAGCUAGUAGGUGAGGUAACGGCUCACCUAGGCGACGAUACAUAGCCGACCUGAGAGGGUGAUCGGCCACACUGGGACUGAGACACGGCCCAGACUCCUACGGGAGGCAGCAGUAGGGAAUCUUCGGCAAUGGACGAAAGUCUGACCGAGCAACGCCGCGUGAGUGAAGAAGGUUGUCGGAUCGUAAAGCUCGGUUGUAAGAGAAGAACGGGUGUGAGAGUGGAAAGUUCACACUGUGACGGUAUCUUACCAGAAAGGGACGGCUAACUACGUG